ensembl:lncRNA
CAAACCCCCAAUUUUAAGAGCUCAAAUGACCAUUUUUGGGGCCCAAACCCCCAAUUUUUGUUGCUCAAAUCCCCAUUUUUGCACCCAAAUCCCCAAUUUUGGGGCUCAAAUGCUCCAAUUUUGGGCCCAAACCCCCCAUUUUGGGGCUCAAAUCCCAAUUUUUAGGUUCCAAAUCCCCAUUUUUGCACACAAACCCCCAAUUUUGGGGCCCGAAUCCCCAUUUUUGCCCCCAAACCCCCAAUUUUGGGUCUCAAAUGCCCGAUUUUCAGGCUCCAAACCCCCGUUUAGGGACCCAACCCAUCAGUGUGGGCCCUGAAAUCCCGGAUUGUAAGGGCCCAAACCCCCAUUUUUGCCCCCAAACCCCCAAUUUUGGGUCUCAAAUGCUCAAUUUUUAGGUUCCAAAUCCCCAUUUUUGCCCCCAAACCCCCAAUUUUGGGUCUCAAAUGCUCAAUUUUUAGGUUCCAAAUCCCCAUUUUUGCACCCAAACCCCC